AUUGAACGCUGGCGGCAGGCCUAACACAUGCAAGUCGAGCGAGCGGCGAACGGGUGAGUAAUGUCUGGGAAACCGCCUGAUGAAGGGGGAGAAAUACUGGGAACGGUAGCUAAUAACCCCUACCAUAUGAAGUGCACCUAUGGGAUUAUCUAGUAGGUUGGGUAAUGGCUAACCUAGGCGCCGAUCCCUAGCUGGGCUGCGAGGAUGACCAGCAAAACUGGAACGGAGACACGGUCCAGAGUCUCACGGGAGGCAGCAGUGGGGAAUAUUGCACAAUGGGCGCAAUCCUGAUGCAGACAUGCCGCGUGGGUGAAGAAGGCCUUCGGGUUUUAAAGUACUUUCAGCGGGGAGGCGUUACCUGAAGAGGAAGCACCGGCUAACUCCGUGCCAGCCGCCGCGGUAAUUC
rnacentral:rRNA from 1 species